GGAGAAGUACCCAAGUGGCUGAAGGGUCCGCACUCGAAAUGCGGUAGGCGGUUAAUAGCCGUGCAAGAGUUCAAAUCUCUUCUUCUCCGCCA
rnacentral:tRNA from 1 species